AGCCAAUGGCAAGAUAGUCUUCAAUGACGGAAUUUCAUUUUCUAGCUCAGUCAUUUAUGCCUGCUGGGAAGGUUACAAGACUUCAGGACUAACUACACGACACUGUACGGCCAACGGGACAUGGACUGGCUCUGCCCCAGACUGCACAGUGAUCAGUUGUGGAGAUCCAGGUGAAUUGUCAAAUGGCAUCCAUUUUGGAAGGGAUUUCACCUUUAAUAAGACGGUCACCUAUCAAUGCAACCCAGGGUACCUAAUGGAACCUGUUGGUGCAUCCACCAUACGCUGUACGAAAGAUGGCACCUGGAACCAGACUAAACCCAUCUGCAAAGCUAUCACAUGUGGACCACCACC